rnacentral:rRNA from 1 species
UACGUAGGGGGCAAGCGUUGUCCGGAAUUAUUGGGCGUAAAGAGCGCGUAGGCGGUCCGGUAAGUCGGCUGUGAAAGUCAAGGGCUCAACCCUUGAAAGCCGGCCGAUACUGUCGGACUAGAGUCCGGAAGAGGCGAGUGGAAUUCCCGGUGUAGCGGUGAAAUGCGUAGAGAUCCGGAGGAACACCGAAGGCGAAGGCAGUGUCCUGGCGCGUAACUGACGCUGAGGUGCGAAAGCCAGGGGAGCGAACGGG